AGAAUCAACGCUGGCGGCGUGCCUAACACAUGCAAGUCGAACGAGAAAGGGUAGCAAUACCUGAGUAAAGUGGCGCACGGGUGAGUAACACGUGACUAACCUACCCUGGAGUGGGGGAUAACUGAGGGAAACCUUAGCUAAUACCGCAUAAUACCUACGGGUCAAAGGAGCAAUUCGCUUCAGGAGGGGGUCGCGGCCGAUUAGUUAGUUGGCGGGGUAAUGGCCCACCAAGACAGUGAUCGGUAUCCGGCCUGAGAGGGCGCACGGACACACUGGAACUGAAACACGGUCCAGACUCCUACGGGAGGCAGCAGUGGGGAAUUUUGCGCAAUGGGGGAACCCUGACGCAGCAACGCCGCGUGGAGGAUGAAGUCCUUCGGGACGUAAACUCCUUUCGAUCGGGACGAUUAUGACGGUACCGGAAGAAGAAGCCCGGCUAACUUCGUGCCAGCAGCCGC
rnacentral:rRNA from 1 species